AUACUCACCUGGCAGGGGAGAUCAAAAUGGCAUACUCACCAUGAUCAUGAAGAUGGUUUCCCCAGGGCGAGGCUUAUUGGUUGCACUUCGAAUGUGCUGACCCCUGUGAUUUCACCAAACGUGGGAAAUUCAACAGCGUGAUUUGUGAUGGUGGGGACUGCAUUGGCGCUCUCCUCU
rnacentral:snRNA from 1 species